rnacentral:rRNA from 1 species
CCUACGGGAGGCAGCAGUGAGGAAUAUUGGUCAAUGGACGAGAGUCUGAACCAGCCAAGUAGCGUGAAGGAUGACUGCCCUAUGGGUUGUAAACUUCUUUUAUAUGGGAAUAAAAUGUUCCACGUGUGGGAUUUUGUAUGUACCAUAUGAAUAAGGAUCGGCUAACUCCGUGCCAGCAGCCGCGGUAAUACGGAGGAUCCGAGCGUUAUCCGGAUUUAUUGGGUUUAAAGGGAGCAUAGGUGGAUUGUUAAGUCAGUGGUGAAAGUUUGCGGCUCAACCGUAAAAUUGCAGUUGAAACUGGCAGUCUUGAGUACAGUAGAGGUGGGCGGAAUUCGUGGUGGAGCGGUGAAAUGCUUAGAUAUCACGAAGAACUCCGAUUGCGAAGGCAGCUCACUGGACUGUAACUGACGUUGAGGCUCGAAAGCGUGGAGAGCAAACAGGAUUAGAUACCCGAGUAGUC